UAUAUUUUACCCAAAGAAUGCUAAUACAGGGAAAAUAGUUGAUGCAAUUUUCGAAAUAUAUUGCAGAAGAAAGAGAUGCAACUUUAUGCUGACUGAAUCGACAGCCAAAGGCAGAAGCAAGUAAUGUAUUCUCCUUGACAUGAACACCAUGUACAAAAAACAAAAGUGAUCAACAAAAUUUGUCGCUCAUUUUAUUGACAAAAGUGUUUUGUAGACCAUGUGUGGUAUAAUGCCCAAUGUCACGAUUACGACUGGGAAAAGAAGAUGAAUUUAAGUCAUCAGGAAAGAAUUAGCAAUCUAGUACCGCAGCCAGUAUGUCCUGCGUCUGAACCAAUUGUAAUCAGGCAAAUCUUGAAUUGGUCCCCUAGCUGAUAUUGCAACAUCCCUGUCAAAAAUAAAACGAUUUGCAACUCGCUUGAUCGUUCCAGCAUCGACACUGUCAAUUCUGGAAAAUAACUCAGCAUAUGGAAUUCUGCGGCCAUAUGUGAUUAACUGCCGUCCAAUGUCUUCAGCAGUAGGGCCUGAUCCAUCAAUGUGGAGCAUCAAAGAAGAUUUCAGCUGAUUACGUGCGCGAACCACAUCAGCAUCAGACACUUUGUAACUUAACUUGCAUAUACCAUUCAUGAUGACAUAAGCCAAGUCACUCAGGCAAUCAGGCUUAGCUUCAGCAUAGACACCAAACAGCCCUGUAUCUUUAUAGUUGGUGUUAAAAGCCAUCACACUUUCAGCUAGCUCAUUGAUGGCCACCCUCUGAACAAGCUCUGAACCCAUGUGCUUUCCUCCUCCUGAACUUUUGCUCCAUGAUCCGAGCAUUUGUUGCAUGACCAUCAAAGCUAUGGAAUCAGGGUCUGUCCAUGACGCUCCACUAAAUGCAACAGCAAAUUGAGCGAGAGGCAGAUCAUCAUCAAUGAUACGUAUCUCUGAACCUGUAAAUAUUGCUGGCUCUUCUGACACCAAUUGGGAAGUGGUAAUAGGAUUAGAUGAUAGUUUUGUAAAAUGUUUCUUCACUAGCUCAACAACUUCUUCAUGCUUCACAGCUCCGGCAGCAGAAAUUACCAUUCUAUGAGCACCAUAGUGGGUUGAAAUGUAAUCUUGUAUAUGAGCUCUUGUCAUUUUCUCAAUGUUCUGAGCAGGUCCAAGAAUAGUUCUACCCAAUGGAGUGUAUUGGAAUGCAGUAGUAUGUAACUGGUCAAAGAUGACUUCCUCGGGUUGUUUUUCCACCUCUUCCAUUUCGCGAAGAAUCACACUACGCUCUCGAAUAAUCUUAUCUUCCUCCAAUAGAGAAUUCUGCAAAAUAUCCCCAAGAAUAUCAACUGCCUUAGGCACAUCAGAUCCCAAAACUUUGGCGAAAUAAGUAGUUUGCUCCCUAGAAGUAUAAGCAUUCAAAUGCCCUCCCAUAUUCUCAAUUUCCUCUUCCAAUGCCCUAAUUGGCCUCUUCUCAGUUCCUUUAAAAAUCAUAUGCUCAAGGAAAUGAGCAACGCCAUUAUUCUCCUCAGUUUCGAAUCGCG
rnacentral:misc_RNA from 1 species